UGGGGAAUAUUGGACAAUGGGCGCAAGCCUGAUCCAGCAAUGCCGCGUGUGUGAAGAAGGCCUUCGGGUUGUAAAGCACUUUUAUCAGGAGCGAAACGCUGUCGGCUAAUACCCGGCGGAACUGACGGUACCUGAGGAAUAAGCACCGGCUAACUUCGUGCCAGCAGCCGCGGUAAUACGAAGGGUGCAAGCGUUAAUCGGAAUUACUGGGCGUAAAGCGUGCGUAGGCGGUUUCUUAAGUCUGCUGUGAAAUCCCCGGGCUCAACCUGGGAAUGGCAGUGGAUACUGGGAGGCUAGAGUGUGUCAGAGGGUGGUGGAAUUCCCGGUGUAGCGGUGAAAUGCGUAGAGAUCGGGAGGAACAUCAGUGGCGAAGGCGGCCACCUGGGACAACACUGACGCUGAGGCACGAAAGCGUGGGGAGCAAACAGGAUUAGAUACCCUGGUAGUCCACGCCCUAAACGAUGCGAACUGGAUGUUGGUCUCAACUCGGAGAUCAGUGUCGAAGCUAACGCGUUAAGUUCGCCGCCUGGGGAGUACGGUCGCAAGACUGAAACUCAAAGGAAUUGACGGGGUCAU
rnacentral:rRNA from 1 species